UACGAAGGGGGCUAGCGUUGCUCGGAAUCAGCUGGGCGUAAAGGGUGCGUAGGCGGGUCUUUUAAGUCAGGGGUGAAAUCCUGGAGCUCAACUCCAGAACUGCCUUUGAUACUGAAGAUCUUGAGUUCGGGAGAGGUGAGUGGAACUGCGAGUGUAGAGGUGAAAUUCGUAGAUAUUCGCAAGAACACCAGUGGCGAAGGCGGCUCACUGGCCCGAUACGUGACCGCUGAGGCACGAAAGCGUGGGGAAGCAACAGGG
rnacentral:rRNA from 1 species